UCUACCAUGAGUUGCCAUCGAAAACUUGUAUUCGUAUACUACAGUCGAUAGAGUUUAAACGUGGAUCGAUGAAGUUUGCAUUAAAAUCAUACCAUGAGUUCAAUUACCGUAUACUUUACUCGCCAGCGAUAAUUCGAUGGUUUUGUGAUGUCAUGUUGGUGAACAUGUUAACGUAUCCAACUUCACACUCUAUGAAUGGAUGAAUGAAAGAACGAAUGCCGCUCCUUUCUAACUAUAUAGAAAAGAUAGAGUAGGAAAUAACAAAAAUGACAAAAAUAACACUGCAAAAUUUAAGUGUCCUAGAACAGUGCUUAAAGCUGAAUUAACAUGAUGAUUUUAAAUUUGUAUUGUUUAUUUCUUGUCAUUGCGACUUUGACGCAGCUGUUGUCAUGACAACAGAUAACAAAACAUGUUUUGUUGAAGGAUUAUUGAUGAAUAAUUUUCCACAAAAAAUUGGAUUUUAACCACGAUAGGAAAAUGAGAACCUGCGCCUAUCCGUUUAAACCGAUUGUAGAAUUUAUGGAAAGAUAUGGCGAUCUGAGUAUGCCCACUGAAGGGCCCCAAGAAAGAGCCAACAAUAGUCAACGGUGGGUGGAACUAACGGACACGCGAACGUGAAAUGCUGAUGCCACCGGCGACACGAAAACUACUGAGAAAUUGAGAAAAGUGUGGAGUGACUUUAAACAGCAAGAAGAAGGCAACUCGCAUACACAGAGCUGCCAAGGGAACACUGGACUGGUGGCGGUGCAGGUUCUUCCCUGAAGCCAAAGGGAUUAGAGCAGAGUGCUUACCUACUUGUAAAUUAAAUCCAUAAUAAAGACCUAGGGUAACUGGAUGGAUAUACCUACCUUAUUAUUGUAAAACUUAAGAUAUUAUAAUUAAUUAAAUACA